rnacentral:misc_RNA from 1 species
UGGCAAUAACUUCAGUUGCCUAGGUUUUCUGAGGUGAGGAUGCAUGGAGUCUCACCUCGCUGUUUUCGAAUUGUUCACACUGGUGGUGUUCAUCUUGUGAACUUUCUCUUUUUUACAUUUUCAUUUGCAGUUUAUUAUAAACAGAAAUGCAAAAUGAAAAGGAAAGAUGAAGAAAAUGGAUCAUCAAAUCUUUAUUUUAGUUUCUGUUGCUGUACAUAUGUUGGUCUUUGCUCCAACACCUGGCAGGCUUUAAUUUCCG